AGAAGGGAGGACAAGAGUUUUUGGGGCUUAGAUGCUGGAAAGCUGGAAUCCAAGCAGUAGGAUAGCCCCGCUGCCACCACAGAUCCCCAUGCCCCACCACUUUCCUUCCACCAGACCACUGCUUGCCCUUGCUCCCAGACCUCCAUACCCCAUUGUGGCAGUGCACCUUUGGGUGCCUGCCACUUUAAGGGCAGAGGCAGGCAGCUACCAGGUGCCUGAUGAGGGCAGCCAUUUUGGGAACACUAGGUAUGUAAAGGCUGUAGUUUGCUGCUGCUAGCCCAGGCAGAAACAUCACCUGGUUGAGUAGCAUGGAACAUCUAGAGCUAAGAUCAAAGGAAGCUGACCUGAAACACAGAGAAACAUGGAGUUACAUUAUGAGUAGGAAGAGAAGUUGGGAGUUACAUCAGAACACUGAUCAAUGAAAUAGGAUGUUUCCCAUCUGUAAAACUAUGGAAUAAAACCUCGCUCUUCCUGAAGUGAUUCUUCACACAUCCAAACCACCCAAUUCCCCUGCACCGAUUUUCUCCCCUCCCCGCCCCCACAACUACAAAGUAUAUUCAGUUUGACAAUGCAGAGUUUCCAUGUAUGACCUUCUAUUUUAUUUCCAUAUGAUAUAUGGAUGACGCUGCUUCGAAAUGUUUGGAGUUUCCCAAUGAAAAAUAUUAUUCAAAUGGUUUAAGGCUGCCAGCUAAGAACCCCUAACAAUGGAACUGGACUAGACAGUUAGUUAUGCCAUGGAGAUGAUAAAUUGAUAAUACUUGACCCUAAAGACUCUAUUUCUGUGUCCCUAGCUUACUUUUCUUGGGCUGCCUUAUACAUGGGGCCUCCAUUCAAACCUGCAUGUAAUUGCAAACACUUGGUUUAUGGUGCAUGUAGCACUUCAGGAUUAAUUACUCUGCCAACUUGAUCCCUAGUUUUACAAGCUCAGGUGAUGCCCGUAGGCACACGGGAUUCUUUCUAAGAACAAGGCAGCGAGGGACCAGCUCUAAAGCAAAACAGUUAACUCCGAAUCAUCAACAGGCAAGUUCGGGGGGAGGGGAGGAACACACAUGGGAGGAUCUAGGAUUUUGAAAAGGCCAGUGCAAAUAGAGUGGUGCAUCAUCACAUACAACACAACACACGUUUCUCCACGUGAACUAUAAGUUUUACUAAUAUGCUGGGGGGGGGUAUAGAUCCAAUUUAAGAUCAAAGCAAAAAACAAAUGUAACUAUUGGAGUCAGUUAGAUUUUUAUAUACAAGUGUAAAAAACAAACAAGCACAAAAAAACUAAGCAAAGAAUAGUCCAAAGAGACUGCGGCAGGCAGUUGGUUUUACAGUUUGGAGGGGGAGCAGAAAUCAAAGGAGGGGGUGAGACUGCACCACCGCACUGGCCCUGGCUCUGCCCCGCGGGUGUAAUACACAUAGCUUCGCAUUAAUUUAUUAUACACUAAUAUUUCAUUAACACGAGUGUACGCGCACGUGCUGGCACACUGCCCACCGACCCACGAGGCACCCGGCGAGC